rnacentral:rRNA from 1 species
ACGUAGGCAGCGAGCGUUGUUCGGAGUUACUGGGCGUAAAGAGUGCGUAGGCGGUUUUCUAAGUUUGGUGUGAAAUCUCCCGGCUUAACUGGGAGGGUGCGCCGAAAACUGGAAGGCUUGAGUAUGGGAGAGGUAAGCGGAAUUCCUGGUGUAGCGGUGAAAUGCGUAGAGAUGUGGAGGAACACCAAUGGCGAAGGCAGCCUUCUGGGCCAACACUGACGCUCAUGCACGAAAGCGUGGGGAGCAAACAGGA